rnacentral:rRNA from 1 species
UACGUAGGGUGCGAGCGUUAAUCGGAAUUACUGGGCGUAAAGCGUGCGCAGGCGGUUCGUUGUGUCGGUGGUGAAAGCCCCGGGCUUAACCUGGGAAUGGCCAUGGGAAACUGGCGAACUGGAGUGUGGCAGAGGGGGGGUGGAAUUCCGCGUGUAGCAGUGAAAUGCGUAGAGAUGCGGAGGAACACCGAUGGCGAAGGCAGCCCCCCUGGGCUAGCACUGACGCUCAGGCACGAAAGCGUGGGGAGCAAACAGG